rnacentral:rRNA from 1 species
AGGGAAACCGAGUCUUAACUGGGCGUUAAGUUGCAGGGUAUAGACCCGAAACCCGGUGAUCUAGCCAUGGGCAGGUUGAAGGUUGGGUAACACUAACUGGAGGACCGAACCGACUAAUGUUGAAAAAUUAGCGGAUGACUUGUGGCUGGGGGUGAAAGGCCAAUCAAACCGGGAGAUAGCUGGUUCUCCCCGAAAGCUAUUUAGGUAGCGCCUCGUGAACUCAUCUUCGGGGGUAGAGCACUGUUUCGGCUAGGGGGUCAUCCCGACUUACCAACCCGAUGCAAACUGCGAAUACCGAAGAAUGUUAUCACGGGAGACACACGGCGGGUGCUAACGUCCGUCGUGAAGAGGGAAACAACCCAGACCGCCAGCUAAGGUCCCAAAGUCACAGUUAAGUGGGAAACGAUGUGGGAAGGCUCAGACAGCCAGGAUGUUGGCUUAGAAGCAGCCAUCAUUUAAAGAAAGCGUAAUAGCUCACUGGUCGAGUCGGCCUGCGCGGAAGAUGUAACGGGGCUAAACUGUGCACCGAAGCUGCGGCAGCGACGCUUAUGCGUUGUUGGGUAGGGGAGCGUUCUGUAAGCCUGCGAAGGUGUCCUGUGAGGGAUGCUGGAGGUAUCAGAAGUGCGAAUGCUGACAUAAGUAACGAUAAUGCGGGUGAAAAGCCCGCUCGCCGGAAGACCAAGGGUUCCUGUCCAACGUUAAUCGGGGCAGGGUGAGUCGACCCCUAAGGCGAGGCCGAAAGGCGUAGUCGAUGGGAAACGGGUUAAUAUUCCCGUACUUGGUGUUACUGCGAAGGGGGGACGGAG